rnacentral:rRNA from 1 species
UGCGUAGGCGGUUAGUUAAGUCUGUUGUGAAAUCCCCGGGCUCAACCUGGGAAUGGCAAUGGAUACUGGCUGGCUAGAGUGUGUCAGAGGAUGGUGGAAUUCCCGGUGUAGCGGUGAAAUGCGUAGAGAUCGGGAGGAACAUCAGUGGCGAAGGCGGCCAUCUGGGACAACACUGACGCUGAAGCACGAAAGCGUGGGAGCAAACA